AUGUAACCGGACCGGUCCUCUGCCGUCAAACGCAGCGGAUGGGAAUGGGAGAUAUCAUACACCCGAUGUUUAUUUACUUUUGUUGCUUUGGCGGGCCGUCCUCUUAGGCGUCGGCUCCGGCUGACUGCGCCUGCCAGAGGACCCAAACUCGUUUUGUUUAGUGUCGUCUGAGUACUAUAUAAUAGUUA
rnacentral:misc_RNA from 1 species